GUUGUUGUUGUUGUUGGUGCAGUAGUAGCAGGCAUGAGCAUCAUCCUGGGCAUCGGCCAAAAGUGACAAAAAGUGAAGUACACAAGACUGAAUGCUGGGAAAUAAAUUAAAAUUAUAUUUAGAAUAACAUUACUAUCUGCAAUGUUCCUAUAUUUUAUUUGGACCAUUGACUCCUAACUAGCUUGCCGUUUACCCCAUCAGCCAACACCACAAGGCAACCAAUGCCGAACCCACACCGUGCAGUUAGGUGGCCAAUCCCAGUUUAGUUUAGGCUACAUUACGUCACUUAUGUAUUAUGACAAACUGUGUUGUAGCCAACAGUAAGUUAGUAACAUUAUCAAGGGUCACAUUAGCUGGUAAAGUACCUAGCAUAGCAUAUCCACUCAGAUAGUUCUUUGCCAGUGAUAGCUUUAGCGAGCAAGCAAGCAAAGGUUAGCUAGCCAUGCUGAAUAAUGUGCGGCUCCAGUUGCACGCAAUAGCAGCCAUCAAAUGAACCUGCAAAUGGCAAGCUGACCAGUCUCAAUGAAGCUAGGGUCAAUUCUCCUGUGGCAAUCUUCCCAUCAACACACUGGGCUUCAUGAGAUCCCAGAGACUUUGGCAUCGAGUGCUGGGCGCCUGACUGUUGAUAUGGAGGUAUUUUGCAAUACAAAAUAUACUGUGGUUUAUUUUUGAAAAACCUUUGCUACCACGACACAACUCCUUUACUCCCUUCUCUUGUUGUUUUUGUUAUGGGGGACUGAGGUCUGUGUGCUUUGAUGGCGAAAAAGAAAGCACAGCAGGAAUGAGCAGAAUGGCUGUGUGUUUGAAGAGCAGAUAUCUGAUUUAUUUGGCCUCAUAUACUGUGGUAUGUUAUUACAGCAGAGACCCAUGGUGAGAUAAGAGCAGUGCACUCAAAUCUGUUUACUGAGUCAGAUGUGCUUCAUUAUCUUGGUCUCUGUUGCAUGAAUCCUGUUUUCUUUUUCUCCUAAAAUGUAGAGGAGUUGACUGAAAUGCGGGAAAGUUAAAAAGAAAUCUCCCAAAAUAAAACGCACAGUGAAAACCUGAACACAUGAUAUUUUCACAGAGCCUUCACUCUCUCAUCCUUGUUAGCCGUAGAAAAGUUAAAACAACCAAAGAACUUACAGAACUAUGGCAGGAAAACACUGAAUUUGUCAAAGAAGAAGCCUAUUAAGCAUCAUAUGUGAUUUAGUCUUGACAGAAAGUCUUUAGUGCUUACACUUUACAGGGAGGUUUUAGUGAUUAAGGGGCAUCUGCACUGAGCAGCAGCAAGAUAAAUCUGCCCAUGGAGUCCAGACGAUGGUAGUGGUGGCUGAUGACUCUGCUGAAGCUGAUGAAAUAAUGGCUGCAUAUGAAAAGUCUUUUU
rnacentral:lncRNA from 15 species